ACGCUGAAACACCAAUUCUCGGACGAUCACCGAAGUUAAGCAACGUCGGGCCUAAUCAGUACUUAGAUGAUUGACCGCUUAGGAAUACCAGGUGCUGG